rnacentral:SRP_RNA from 1 species
AUUAUUUAUUUGUGCAACAAAUAUAUUGUAAACUGGUCAGGUUAGGAAUAAAGCAGCCAUAUCAAUCAAUGUUUGUGUGCACUUUUUUUGAGGUUAAAA